GCCGUGGACACGUCUACGAGACAGUCAUGGCCCAGUGGACGGUGCAUGCGUUUUUGGCGGCGUACUGCUGUUGCCUGAUGGCCGGCUUGCUGUUGCCGCAGCCGGCGGCCGGCAUGGCCGUCGUCGUUGGCGGCCGCUCGCGCGUUACCGCCGCGGCAGACACCGCCGCCGGCGUAGCCGUUCCGUCGCCGUCGUCCGCCGCACGGAACAAGCGAUGGUCCACGACGUUCGGAGCCAACUCGAGCAACAAGAACGUGACAGUUAAUAAUGCAGUUCAAGAUUGUACUACAGACUCUGAUUGUUUAGAUACGCCAUUUACAUCUUGUGCGCUUGAUCCAAGUGAUAAGAAAAAAAAAUGUCUGUGUGCAGAUGGAAAACUGCCAUUGAAUGGUGAUUGCUUAAAAAAACCAAGAGGACCGCUUUUUGUUCCAGCAUUAAAAACAUCAUGCGAAACAGACGUGGAGUGUUUGCCAAAUGCCAUAUGUAAAAAUAACGCCACAUUAACGAAUCCAAGAUUGAAAAUAUGUGCGUGUAAAGACGGUUUUACCGAGGAAAAGGAGUCUUGCAACUUGGUAAAUCAAUGGAUUCAAAUUUGAUACAUUCAUCGACCAACACUGUGACCCAAUCGACACCUAUUGUACAGCAGAGCGAUGCUGAUUUAUUAACUUUCAAUUACACGAUUUUAUUGAUCGCAGUUUUCACUUCAUGGAUUUGGAAUGAUCGCCGUGCAUAAUCAUAGUAGACUUGAAAAUGUUUCUUCUAUAUUUACACACUAUUUAUUAUCUAUUAACUAUAAUAUUUUAUAUUAUACUUCACUAAAUUGAUGCACAAAUUAAAAAUAAUAUUUUAAGGUCCUGUUAUAUUAUUACCUUACAAAUUGUUUGCCUAAUUUUAGUUGAAUUAAUAUUUCAAUUUAUAAUAUAAUAUAUAAUAUAGGUA